CGUUUUUGUGCAGGAGGAUGAAAAAUAAAUCUGACAAGAAUUCAGUGUCCUUAUAUAUCAAUGAAAAUUCUAGAGGUCUGGUGGUAUGGGAUAGAGAUAUCCUUCUAAGGUGAAGAAUAACUGAUUGCAUGUUAGUGCUCCUGCAACUAAAAGAAGGGCUCUGAAUUUUGAAGACAAUGCAUUUAUCACUUUGAGUGAGUUAUCCUAACCAGCAGUGAAGUGACCUAAAAGUCUGCUCAUUUUUGGUGGGGUCCACAACAGGAGAAGUUUCUGCUACAUAUCCUGAACCAGCUGCCUUGAUCAAACUGGAUGACCUUUUAAAGUCUCAGUUACACUGCCAUGUAGGUAGCAAUGCCUUGCAUAUCCAGGAGCAUUCUUCUAGAAGGCUUUGUAUACUUUAUGACAGCAUCCAUAGUGCUCCCAUAUCCAAGACGGACUCGUCCAGGAAUCAAGGGGGUAGAAGCGAGAGCAGCAGCACCCACAAUUAUCUCCACUGAUCUAGUAGCCAAAAUUGUGCUUCUUAUUCUUGUGGCUUUAUGCUGUUCAAAAGUCUUAGUUGUGAAACUCUUAGUUGGAACUCUUUCAUCAGAAGAACAACAGCGAUCAUGUUACUAAAGUUAAGGGUGCUGGCCAAACACUUUGGACUCUUCAUUCCUCUGAAUCUAUAGGUGGAGAACGAGCCUAUGAUGCUGGUUGAGGUGACUUAUCCUGGCUACCUUAGACAUAUUGGAAUGCUACCUCUGAGUGGAGGACGUACAUGGUGACCAGAGAGAAUUGACUUCCUGAAGUUGUCCUGCGAGUUUUACAUGUGUACAUGGCAGCCCACCAUGAGGUAGACAACUUUGCCUCAUCCCAAGUCCCUCCAUGAUGUUCUCCCUCAACACAGGACCAAAAUCAACAGAACCAGCCAACUGUGGAUGAAACCUCUAAGUCAUGAACCCAAGUUCUACCCAUGAGUGAACAAUUUAGUGGGGAGGAAAGAAGAAGAAAAAUAUUCAUGUUUGCGGAAAUGCGGUCACUGUCUUUUUCUCUACGACUGCCAAGAAAUGUGAUCUUGUAUGGAAACUUCCUUUCUCCCAGUGAGUGACAAGAAAUAUGAUCUUGUCUAUCAGAAGACAUGCCUGGAUUAGAAGACAAAAAACCAUUUGGCUCCAGUGCUGCUAAAUAUUACUUGAGAUAUGAAAAAGUGAUCCAACUUUCCUGGAACCUGUGUUUUCAAAUCAGCGAAAUUGGGCUUAUGUGUUUCUGCCUUGACUCUCUUAGAGUUGUUAAAAGGUCUAGAGAGAUGGCUCAGUGGUUAAGAGAACUUGCUGCUCUUCUGAAGGACCUGAGUUCUGCUCCUGACACUGACAGUGGAUGCUCCACAAUUGCCUGUAAACUCUAACUCCAGGGUCUCUGACACCCUCUGGUUUAUAUGGAUACUCACAUGCAUAUGACAUGCACACAGAGACAUGCACAUAAAAUAAAAACAAAUAUUGAAACAUUUGAAACAUGACUUGCUAAAAAUGAAAUCAUGAAAUUUGCAGGUAAAUAGAUACAAGUGGAAAAUAUACUGAGUGAGGUACCCCAGAUCCAGAAAGACAAAUGCUGCAUGUUCUCUCUUAUUUGUAGUUCCAAGCUCUGAAUCUUUAGAUUUGCAUAUACAAGAGGUAAUUGAAUAAG